rnacentral:rRNA from 1 species
GACGAACCGUGCGACCGUUGUUCGGAUUCACUGGGCUUAAAGGGCGCGUAGGCGGUCGUGACAAGUCACUUGUGAAAUCUCCGGGCUUAACUCGGAACGGUCAAGUGAUACUGUCGGACUAGAGUACAGAAGGGGCAACUGGAAUUCUCGGUGUAGCGGUGAAAUGCGUAGAUAUCGAGAGGAACACCUGCGGCGAAGGCGGGUUGCUGGGCUGAUACUGACGCUGAUGCGCGAAAGCCAGGGGAGCGAACGGG